GAUGAACGCUGGCGGCGUGCCUAAUACAUGCAAGUCGAGCGAACAGACGAGGAGCUUGCUCCUCUGACGUUAGCGGCGGACGGGUGAGUAACACGUGGAUAACCUACCUAUAAGACUGGGAUAACUUCGGGAAACCGGAGCUAAUACCGGAUAAUAUAUUGAACCGCAUGGUUCAAUAGUGAAAGACGGUUUUGCUGUCACUUAUAGAUGGAUCCGCGCCGCAUUAGCUAGUUGGUAAGGUAACGGCUUGCCAAGGCGACGAUGCGUAGCCGACCUGAGAGGGUGAUCGGCCACACUGGAACUGAGACACGGUCCAGACUCCUACGGGAGGCCGCAGUAGGGAAUCUUCCGCAAUGGGCGAAAGCCUGACGGAGCAACGCCGCGUGAGUGAUGAAGGUCUUCGGAUCGUAAAACUCUGUUAUUAGGGAAGAACAAAUGUGUAAGUAACUAUGCACGUCUUGACGGUACCUAAUCAGAAAGCCACGGCUAACUACGUG
rnacentral:rRNA from 1 species